rnacentral:rRNA from 1 species
AAUCAACGCUGGCGGCGUGCCUAACACAUGCAAGUCGAACGCGAAAGCCCCUUCGGGGGUAAGUAGAGUGGCGUCCGGGUGAGUAACACGUGGGUAAUCUGCCUUCGGGUGGGGAAUAACUCAGGGAAACUUGAGCUAAUACCGCAUAAUGCAGCGGCACCUAAUGGUGAUUAGUUGUUAAAGCGGGGGAUCGCAAGACCUCGCGCCUGAAGAGGAGCCUGCGGCAGAUUAGCAGUUGAUGAGGUAAUGGCUCACCAAGGCUUCGAUCUGUAGCUGGUCUGAGAGGACGGCCAGCCACACUGGCACUGACACACGGGCCAGACUCCUACGGGAGGCAGCAGUGGGGAAUUUUGGGCAAUGGGCGAAAGCCUGACCCAGCAACGCCGCGUGAGGGAGGAAAUCCUUCGGGAUGUAAACCUCACAAGCAAGGGAAGAGAGCUACGGGCUGAAUAAUCCCGUAGUGCGGCGGUACCUUGCGUAAGCCACGGCUAACUACGUGCC